rnacentral:rRNA from 1 species
UACGUAGGGGGCAAGCGUUGUCCGGAAUCAUUGGGCGUAAAGCGCGCGUAGGCGGCCAGAUAAGUCCGGUGUGAAAGUCACAGGCUCAACCUGUGAAUGCCGCUGGAAACUGUCUGGCUUGAGUCCGGAAGGGGCGAGUGGAAUUCCUGGUGUAGCGGUGAAAUGCGCAGAUAUCAGGAGGAACACCAGCGGCGAAGGCGGUGCUCUGGGCCGGAACUGACGCUGAGGAGCGAAAGCGUGGGGAGCGAACAGG